CCCAGGUCAUUCGCCCACCUUGGCCUCCCAAAAUGCUGGGAUUACAGGCAUGAGCCACUGCAUCCAGCUAUGUAUUUUGUAAUGGAUUUUUUUGCAUUAUCUUAUUUAAUUCUUACUAAUGACCCUAUAGUUAUAAUAGUUAUCUCAUUUACAUCAAUACAACAAUGAGGAAGGAGAGGAUCAGAAAGGUUGGGUCAACUUCCCAAUACAACCAACAUAGCCAAGAAGUGGCAGUGGUGGUUUGUACUCUAUCGACUGCAUUAGCUGGAACAAUGUUUCUCAGGAUCCUCUUGCCCGUAUGCAUGUAAGUGUAUGCAUGUAAGUACGGUUGGCCCAAAGACGAAUUCUUGCAAGAUUUGGGAAACAGAGUGAAACAGUAUCUAUUCCUCUCUCAAGGUCUUUGUAGUUUGCUGUGACAACACAUGCAGACACCUGGAGGGUUCUAGCAUGUCCUGGCCCUCCCCCACUUCACACCCAGAUCUUCCAAAUUUCCAGCACAGCUGAUCAACAGUAGCCACACACCCAUCACAAGGGCCUUAACAUGGAUCCAAAGAGGCAGUAGCCAGGCAAAGACAAAAGCUUUUCACCGAGUAUUCUUCCAGCUUUCUUUCAGGGUCCCCCUCCUGGAUGUGGCAGGCCUCCCAGAUUCCCCUGGAAGUUCUGACUUGCCCAUACACACAAGGACCUCAGGAAACCCAAUAGUGACUUUCCUCAGAUCUGUGAAUUCCUUCUUCUGGAAAAUAACCUUCUCAACAAUUGUGUAAGUUCUCAUAAUACAUCCCUGAUUCCAUUAUAUUCAUAAUGGUUCCACUUUCAUGAAAGAGUGGCUGGCAGAGCUCAAAUCCAAGACUUCUGGGUUCUUUUCACUAUUCUACAAGAAAUCCAACUUAGGUAGAUAAGAUCUUGAGACAAAUAGCUGCAUGUAAGUGAAAAACUGAAUGACAGUGUAUGAACUACUGAAGGAGAGAUUGACAUUCAAACCGGGCUCUUCAAGGACUAGCAGGAUAUCUACUAUAUGAAGGGUGAAGGAGUUUCUAUUCAGACACAAAGGGAAGAAAUGCUGAAACCCAUUAGGAAAAUUACUAGUAAUAAAAACAUCAUGUAUUGAAUUCCUGCUGUCUCUAACCAUAUUAAAAAUAGUCUUACCAUAGCUGACAAAACUUCCCUAUAAGGUAUGUAAGACACCAAUGUCCUAGUUAGGAAACUUGGCCAUGAUCGCACACCUUCUAAAUAUCAGAGUCUUGACUCAAAUAUGCCUGUGUCUGACUGUAAAGCCCUGUGAAAAAUUAUGCACAAAUGCCUCCUAGCAACAGUAUGAGUUUAAAAAAGCUAGAGUUCUCCCAUCAAGGUGCCUCUCAUUCUAUUUUCUCCCUCAUCUGCCAUCCUUCCACACACCUACCUCUCACCGUGCUCUCUGGGCAGUUAUGACUCAAGAUUGUUCGUGUCUAAUUACUGUUGCCAAGCAAACAUGAAGAAGGAAGGUUCAAGAAAUAGCAUAUUUCACAAUUUUUCUACUGUUAUUUGUUAGUCCUCAUUAGACUACUCAGAAUUUGUGUUACUGUAUAUUGGAAACAAAAUUAUGUCUAUCACCUUAACGUUUCUACGACUUGUAUUUUUCAAAUAUAAACUUAGUGAAUUAGACUAGGUCGUCUCCAAAAACCCAUCAUAAGAUUCAACAUGUUCUCUUUUGUGCUUUCUUUCUAGAUAAUGGAGUCCUUUAUGUUGUAAACAAGAAUAAAAAAGAAAGUAUAGAUAUUGUGGAGUAGUUUUUUUGUGGGGGGGGGGUCCUUUCUUUAAAAACCGUGUGAAUAUGUGGUUCUCAAUCAUUAUAUCCAAAACAUUUUACUAUUUUUCUUGUAA
rnacentral:lncRNA from 1 species